AAACAAUUUCAAUGUCGGAUUAAUCAUCAUCUCAAGUUAUUUGUCGCCGUCAAAAAAAGAUGGCAAUGCGCUAGUAAGGAGACCACUCAUAAAUUAUGUAACGCAAAAAUUGGCUCCCCCUUCCCUCCAUGAAACAAAUUGUCACUAAUUUCCGAGAGGAACGACACUCCGUGAAUUUUUGAUGAAAUGAACUUAUAAAUUUAAAAUCCUGACUAGAUUGAUAUUGGUUAAUUCGGAAUUCCAACAUUACUUGCUAAUGGUUUGGAAUGGCCGAGGAUGGUUUGAAAGGCGUCAUGAAAAAAAAAAUAAGGGGGUCUUCUACUCGCGAGGCCUAAAAUUGAGCACUUUUUUGGGAAUAAUUUGUAUAGCAUCUACUCAAUGGAUUUAGAAACUUGAAAAGAAAAAAUCUCUCGUGACCUUGAAACUUCAUUGAUGUUGAAACUGUAUGUGUCCCGCUUAAGUAAAGUGGCAAAUUGGGUAAUCUGUAAUCAGAAGACUCAUAUUUUUUAUAAUCAUAGAUUUCUUUAUUUUAUAGCUCGUAAAAGUUAUGCAACGAUUUGUGAAAUUUUCCAACAUUUACGUUAUUUUUUGGCCUAUUAGGGGCUUUGAGUGUGAGCUCCUAAGCAUCUUUCUAAUAAAAAAAAUAUUUGUUUUUUUAAUUCUGCGAAAAGGCGUCACGAAAGAUAGACUUUCGUAGAUCCUGACAUGUUCGAAAGUUUCUAAAGUUCUUUUUACUUCAGCCUGACGCCACUUGCACCAACUGUCCUCGUCGGUUGAACACUUUGAGUGUUGGCGAUUUUUGUUCGAUGACGAGCAGUGUUCAAGGGAAACCCAGAUUGCAUUUCGCAUAUGUUUUACACAAUUUGAGGUUCUCCGAAUCGCCUAAAAUAUUGUUAGCUCGCCGAUUAAUUUGUCCGUCAACUUUCCCAUCGAUACCUUCGUAUUAUUUCUUCAGUUUUCGUAAUCGCGUUCUCAUACGCUUCUCAACAUGUCCGACGCAUUCUUUCUUCCGUACGAUAAUCUCGUUCCGAAAAAAGAAACCAUUCACAGACGCUCACAUAUACAUGAACCGUCAAGAAUGGACCGGUUAAAUCUUUAAACAAUGAUUUUUCCAUACACAAGCGACAUCGUGGUGCGCCGCGCUUAGUAUCUCAAAACGGCGAGAGAUGGGUACCUUUCGGUUCCCAGAAACAUGCCAAGGAAUAUGAUUUUCACCAAAUCCUUUCUGUGGCGUAUUCUCAAAUACAUAUAGAUUGAAAUUAAACAGAAAAAAAUCGAUUUUUUGAAACCAUAAGAGUAGACCCCCAUAAGACCCCCUUAAGUGCUCCAAAUUCACGUUUUGACAGUUUAGUGCUCGACGAGAUCAAAACGAAGGCUGUUCGCAACGCUGAUGUAUUCUAUAUGGGAUGUUCUAUUUUAUAUCGCCGACUAAAACAGAUCGAUCGCUAUGCUGAGACGCAGUUCCAUUUUUCGAGCACUUUUUUGGAUUACAUUUACAACAGCUCGACUAUUCUGUUUUAAAUUUUCCACAAUUUAAAACACGAAUAGAACACUGUUCUAAAUUUGUUUCGUUGGUAUGUGUGACAGCAGAAAAAACAAUAUAUGUUACAUAAGACGCAAACAAUAACAAAAUCAAAUGGGAUUUUCGAUUGAUUCACACCGGUGUAGUGGAUUGCAUUGGUUUUGCACUUUCUAGCAGAACUGUCAAUGGAACAUUCCCAGUUUUCUGCACUUCUGCUAGAAAGUGCAAAAACGGUGCAGCUUCAGUGCACUGCAUUACACCGGUGUCAAUCAAUCGAAAACCCCAAAACAAACAACAUUUAGAACAGGUGGCCAAAUAAUCGCAUUGGGAACACCGUGUUCUAGAUGUAUUUUGAUAGAUCCAAAUUAUCCGACGGCUUGUCAUUUUGAAACAAAUUUGCAUCAGAGCAUUGCGUCGUCACACAUACUAGUGAAAAAUAUUGAGAACAGUGUUCUAUUCGUAUUUUAAAUUGUGGGUGAACGGAGAACAGCGAGUCUAGUUAUGUACGGUAUGCAAACAAGGUUCGAUGGCGGAUCAAAGACAUAGUGUCUCGAUCAUAUACAUUUGGAACAACAGAUCACAGAGAACAGACAUCCAUGAUCGAACAAAAAUAUUUGAAAAACGUGUGUAAACAUUUGAAUUUUAUAUACGAUAAACACUAGCGCCGCCACACCAACCUAUCUCAACUAUCCGUCAAAUUCAUUCCGGAACCGGUUCGAAAUCCUGAAUGGGUUCAGUAUGGAAUCUUGCUCAAAGAAAACAACCGAUUCCGACUCUAUCGGUUGGUGCAUUUGAGCUGGAAUUCAUGCUGGAAGUCCGAACCGGUUCCAGACUAGUUUGACUGGGUAGAGGAAUAACCGCUGUCAAUUCUGUCGAACUCAGACACAAAAAAACAUGACGACAGUAGCGCACCUGGUUUGGAUAUCCCAACUACCUUCGAACCCGUUGGAGAUUUUAUACAAGUUGAAUGCUGAAGAUGGACGUCUGUUCUCUGUGAUCAGAUGUUGUUUCAAACUGUUCUCAACUCCUAUUCGACAGCUCUCACAACGUCACCCAUGUUACGGCUUGGUAAGGCCAAACUGGUGUCGAAGGAAGUCAAUUAAGGUUGUCUGACGUAUUCUUGAUGGUCACAUCAUUAGCAUCAGAAUCGUCAGACAGACUUAGUUGAUUAUAAAAUUAGGGAGUUUUUAUAAACAUUUUUAUAUUAUGUACUAUUUUUGCUUCAAGUAGUUGACAUUCGAGCUUGUAGAAUCUCUUGAGCGCCUUGGAAAUUGAGGAUUCGAUAAAAGAAAUCUCUUCUAUGAGACGGUUGACCGAGGGCGUCGAAAUGCCGAAAGAGAUGAGCAGCACAAAGCUGAGAAAUAAGUUUCUAAAGGUCAUACAAAUCAGCGCAUUCGUCGGAAGGUUAAGUAUGGAAGAUCUAUUGAGUAAGUGCUCCGACGGAAAUUGAGGAUCCGAUAGAGAUCCUUUCUAUGAGACGGUCGACCGACGGAGUCGAAAUGUCGGAAGAGAUGAGCAGCGGCAAGCGAGUUUAACAUGAGAGAACUGUACGAGAUGGCGCUGGGCUUGUGGCCUUCGACUGGAAAGGUCCAUUCUCAUUGAUUCGGAAGGCUUCUUGGCUGGUUGGUAGAUAUAUGCUCCUCCUUGGGUGGGGAACAUGUGGAUCCUACUAGUUGUCGACUCUUUUGAUCGUGGGUAUGAGGCUAAUUCAGGAAGGAGUGCAGGACUGGCAUCUAAGAGAUAAUUAAUUAUUCAGGACUUUUUCUUACGAUUACUUAACUCCACCGACCAAGCACACCGGCUCUCAGAAAUGAUAAGCAAAUUUAUGCCUGUAUGCAUGGAUGUGUAUAUAUGUGUAUAUGUGUGUGUAUAUCCUAUAGGAGCAAUGUAUCCCUAAGCAACAUGGAAGGACAGCCUCUUAGGCACCAAAACGCUCAUGGGAAGCUGGGUGCGCGAUCGUAGGUGACAAUAACGCACCUCACACACUGUCAAGUGCAAAUUCAGCUCCAGCAGGCUUUUCCCUGCUCUCAAAUAAGUAAAUAAAUAAACGGUGAGACGGUAGGUGUACAGUUAAUACACAUAGGUUGCAGAAAUAGGUUGUUGAAACAGCCCGAUUGCACACUGAUAAAUAACAAUAACAACAGUGUUCUAUUCGUGUUUCAAAUUGUUGAAAAUUUAAAACAGAAUAGUCGAGCUGUUCUAAAUCUGAUGUAAAAAGUGCUCGAAAAAUAGAAUUGCAUCUCAGCAUUGCGA